rnacentral:rRNA from 1 species
GGCGUAAAGCGCAUGCAGGUGGCACUGUAAGUAAGGUGUGAAAUCUCCCUGCUCAACGGGGAGGGUGCACUUUAGACUGCAGAGCUAGAGUACUGUAGAGGGGGGUAGAAUUUC